rnacentral:rRNA from 1 species
ACCGUGCAAAGGUAGCAUAAUCAUUAGUUUUUUAAUUGAAAGCUGGAAUGAAUGGUUGGACGAGAAAAUAACUGUCUCAAUUUAAUUUAAAUUAGAAUUUUAUUUUUAAGUAAGAAAGCUUAACUGAUUUUAAAAGACGAGAAGACCCUAUAGAGUUUAAUAUUUAUUAUUUAUUUAAUUUAUUAGUAUAAUAUUAAUUUUAUUAAUAGUAAGUAUUUUAUUGGGGCGAUAGAAAAAUUAAUAUAACUUUUUUUAUAUUUUAACAUUAAUUUAUGAUUUAAUGAUCCAUUAAUAAUGAUUAUAAGAUUAAAUUACCUUAGGGAUAACAGCGUAAUUCUUUUUGAGAGUUCAUAUCGAAAAAAGAGUUU